GGAGAGGUGGCUGAGUUGGUUGAAGGCGCCCGCCUGGAAAGUGGGUAGGCAGAAGCUCUCUGUCUCGCGGGUUCGAAUCCCGCCCUCUCCGCCA
rnacentral:tRNA from 1 species